rnacentral:tRNA from 1 species
GGUUCUAUAGUGUAAUGGUUAGCACUCUGGACUUUGAAUCCAGUAAGUAGUCUGAGCUCAAAUCUCAGUAGCGCCU